GACACCUUAAUCCAACAUCGAGGUCGCAAACCCUUCUUUCAAUGUGAACUCUCCAGAAAGAUUACGCUGUUAUCCCUGUGGUAACUUUUUCCGAUAAUCAGCAAUGCUGGAUCACUUGUUAGUAAACCAAAAUUCUACAAAUUAACAGAGAAGCUUUUCAUGUUCCCUAGUCACCCCAACUAAAGAUGUAAGAAUAAAUUUAAAAUCCUCUAUUCUAAUAGAAACAACCCCUUUAUUCCACACUAAAGCUCAACAGGGUCUUCUCGUCCCUCAGCUAAAUCUAAGCCUUUUCACCUAGAAGUUAAUUUUUAAAUAUUCCAGGAGAGACAGCUCAGCCCUCGUCAAACCAUUCAUACCAGCCUCCAAUUAAAAGGCAAGUGAUUGUGCUACCUUUGCACGGUCAGUGUACCGCGGCCGUUU
rnacentral:rRNA from 1 species